rnacentral:rRNA from 1 species
GACGAACGCUGGCGGCGUGCCUAAUACAUGCAAGUAGAACGCUGAAGGAGGAGCUUGCUUCUCCGGAUGAGUUGCGAACGGGUGAGUAACGCGUAGGUAACCUGCCUGGUAGCGGGGGAUAACUAUUGGAAACGAUAGCUAAUACCGCAUAAGAGUAGAUGUUGCAUGACAUUUGCUUAAAAGGUGCAAUUGCAUCACUACCAGAUGGACCUGCGUUGUAUUAGCUAGUUGGUGAGGUAACGGCUCACCAAGGCGACGAUACAUAGCCGACCUGAGAGGGGGAUCGGCCACGCUGGGACUGAGACACGGCCCAGACUCCUACGGGAGGCAGCAGUAGGGAAUCUUCGGCAAUGGACGGAAGUCUGACCGAGCAACGCCGCGUGAGUGAAGAAGGUUUUCGGAUCGUAAAGCUCUGUUGUAAGAGAAGAACGAGUGUGAGAGUGGAAAGUUCACACUGUGACGGUAUCUUACCAGAAAGGGACGGCUAACUACGUG